CAGCACAAGAGGCUCUCUCCCUCUUCUUCUUUUCUUCCAUUAACAAGUCAGAGAAAGUUUUGUUUCUCCUUGAAUCAAAACACUAGGAAUUGUUUCUAGUGCACUAUACAUCCAUAGAACCUCACCUAAAGCAAAAGCCCAAAAGAAUCAAGUGGUUAGCAAGCAAAUUAAAAGGAGGUUUGGGGUUGCCAAAGGUGCCUUGGUGGUGCUUGUGGUGGACAAUCUAGAGGGGCUACAUUUGGAGCUCUUGGAGACUCUCAAAGGGAACAAGAAGGAUUGAUUCAACGCCUUUGAGGAUUGGACUUGAGAGAUUCCUGAAGCUAAGGAUCCAAAGCUAGCUUCCGUUCGAAUAAGGUGUUUGAUAGGCUAUAAGAGGUUUUUGUGGCAAAUCGAAGAUCAAUGAGUGCAUUAGGAAGUGAUUUGAUGAAAUUUGGAGUUCUUUAAGCAUGGAGGAAAAUUGAAAAAAUCAAGCCUUGAAAAAGCAAAUUAGCCAAAAUUUGCUUGAAACUUUACUUAUGAUGUUGCUUAGGGUAUGUCAUAUAAGCUUAACCUUAAGUCUGUUCAAGCUGAAAAUCAAGCACGGCUUAAAUCCUACAUAUUCAAGCUUUUACUCCAAAACCUAUCGAGAAUUGCUUAUGAUCCUGCUUAGGGUAAGCGGCAGUACUUAAGGUGCAGCACAAGUCAAGCUGAAAGUCAAGCAUGAGUAGAAAAGUCUAUUUUACUCCAAGUCUGCCAAGAUUUGCUGAGGGUCUGCUUAACUCUAAGCAGACAGUGCAACCACAGGCCGAAAUUUGCUGAAGAAGCUGCUUAGGGUAAGCAGUACCCUAAGCAGACUGCCCAAAACGUGAAUGACUCUGCUGACUUGGACAUUUCUACACCUCAUUUCCUACCCACUCCUUGGCUCUUAUUCACUUUUAGAGCAACUUUUUGGGACCAUAUAAAAUCAUCAUUUUCUAGUUUUUGCCACAGGAGGAAACAGGAAGAAAUAAAGAAAAGAAAAAAAAUUAUAAAUAAAGAGAGGAGGAGGACGCCAUUUUUCUGAGGAAGGAGCUGCGGCAACCAUCUUUGGGAGCUCUAGAAAUUAGAGUUUUGGGUUCUUCUA